CCGCCACCUCCGCCGGUGGGCAAGGAGGGUCCCCUUUCAGCCUGCAGUUCCUCAGCAGAGAGGAGGGCCCUCCGCAGGCCCGCGCCCGGUCCCACACUGGGGAGAAGCCGUUCAGCGGCGCCAUCUGCGGUAGGGCCUUCACCACUAAGGGCAACCUCCAGGUACACUUGGCACUCACAUGUGGAAUAACCACCCUCACAACCUCCCCCAAGGCGAGCUGCCGCGGUGGAACAGUCCAUGGCUCUGCUAGGGGAUGAUGGCCUGAAGUUCUCUGAAAUAUUCCGGAAGGAUCUGACAGCCCAAAUAAUGAAUGGCGACCCCAAUAUUUGGAACCAGGAAGCUGCAGCUCACCCCCAGGAGCUUCCCAUAAAGAACAAUGAGAUUUCCAUCAUUCAGAACAGAGGCUUUUCCCAGAUCCCAGGAAGUUUUGGCUGCUGCACCAUCCCUCUGGGUACCCUGGGGUGCAAAGAGCGCAAAAUAGCCCUCCCAUUGUCAGUCUGGACAACGCACCUCAGCAGCCUGCAUAGCAGGCAGCGUCCAUUCGCCAGGUUACCCAGGAGAACAAGGAGAUGGUCUAAACUAGCUCAACACACGGGACUCGCGUCCUUCAACAAUGAAAGCAAAACACAAUGUCCUCUGAUUAUUCGGAACACAGUCUGAUGCUGAUGGCCUGUCCAUUGUAUCCAGUGAGAAAAGAGGCCAGGACACUGAGGCAGGCUGAAUCAAAACUUGAACAGAAGUGUUGUGUGUAUCACCUCAUUUUCACGCAUUUCAAGUGUGCUGGCACCUGACAUUAUAAACUUCCAACAACAGAAUUGUUCAAGAGAUGUUCAAGAGAUGUUCUGAGUAGCUGAGUGACAGUGCAAGGAGGUGCAUGGUUCCUGAAGAAAGAAUCAGACAGUGAAGUCUUCUCAGUUGAGACAAAUAGAAAAUCUCUUUCUCACAUAACUACAGCGAUAACAGAAAAUAUUGUAAGAGGAUGAGCUAUUUUUGCCAGUGCAUCAUUGAACAAAAAAGUUUCAAAGACUCAUUAGCUGUUUACUUCUGUUGGAAAUUAACGUUGAGCUCUAAAAGUUUUCCAUAGUGUUGAGAUGUAACUCCCCCAUGUCAUACCACAUGUUGUUCCCCAUCAUAAGAUGUUGUUCCCUCAUCAUAAGAUGAGGGAUUGAGGGUGUUGCAAGCAUUGGGAAAAGAAAACUGAGGUGGCUUAAUGUUGCUGUGUUUUAGCAGUUGAAUGCUUUAUUAUUUAUCUGGUUUUUUUUUGUAUGAUUUUUUUGGUUAGUAUUUGGUACCAUGUAGUGCUGUGUCUUCUCCCAAAAAGAUGUGUAUUUAGCUUAGGAAAGAAAUGCAAAGUGUGGUUGAUAAAAUGGCUCAUGAAAGUGCAGUGAGACUGACCCCAUCCUGUAUUCAGGGAUAGGCCAUCCCUCUCUGCCAGUGAAGAGAGACACUAUCUUUAUACCGUAAUACCACGUAGAGCUAGGGCUUCCCUGAUCCAGCUGGGGAUUGUUACCUACACCCAAUAUUGUUUAUUGUUAAAUCUUGUGGCUUGAAAUGUCUACUGAUUGAAAUGGAUGUCUUGGUCUAGGUUACUAUUUUUGACAUAUGUAACUGAAAAAAAAAGCAGGAUGUAUAUUUUAAUUUUUUAAAAUUUACCAUUUUAUUUCACGUUAUUGUACCAAGCUCAUGAAAUGUUUUACUAUUUGUCAGAAAAGUGACAUUAUGGCACAUGCAUUCUAAGAUUUAAUACAUUGUUUUUAGGGAGGUUGAAAUACAGUAUCCUGAAUCUUAAAUAUUAUAGAACUCUUAAACAAUUUGGCUUAGCUGGAGAAGGCUGGGGUAUAUUUAAGAAUGUUAUGUGUUCUGCAUUACUCCUUAAGAAACAGAUUUUCAGGCUGGCUGUGGUGGCUCACACCCAUAAUCCCAACACUUUGGGAGGCCGAGGCAGGAGGAUUGCUUGAGGCCAGG